AUGCCCAAGGAAAAGAAGGCCAAGGGGAAGAAGACGACCCCAGCCCCUGCUGUCUGAAAGUAGCAGGAGGCUAAGAAGGUGGUAAAUCCCUUGUUUGAGAAAAGGCCUAAGAAUUUUGGCAUUGGACAGGACAUUCAGCCCCAAAGGGACCUCACUUGCUUUGUCAAAUGGCCCAGCUAUAUCUGAUUGCAGCGGCAAAGGGCUAUCCCCUAUGAGCAGCAGAAAAUGCCUCCUGUGAUUAACUAGUUUACCCAGACUUCAGACUGCCAACAAGCUCCUUAAUUAACUCGGGCUGGCCCACAAGUACAGACCAGAGACAAAGCAAGAGAAGCAGAGGCUGUUGUCGUGGGCUGGGAAGACAGCUGCCAGCAAAGGGGAUGUCUCCACUAAGAGGUCACCUGUCCUUCCAGCAGGGUUAAGACUGUCACCACCUGGGUGGAGAAUGAAAAGUCUCAGUUGUUGGUGACUGCACAUGAUGUGGAUCCUGUAGAGCUGGCUGUCUUCCCUCCUGCCCUGUGUCAUAAGAUAGGGGGUCCUUACUGCAUUAUCAAGGGUGAGGCAAGAUUGGGGUAUCUAGUCCACAGGGAGACCUGCACCACUGUCACCUUCACACGGUCUAACUCAGAUGACAAAGCUUUGACUAAGCUAGCAGAAGCUAGCAGGACUAAUUAU
rnacentral:lncRNA from 1 species